rnacentral:lncRNA from 1 species
AGACACAGAACUGACCUAGAGACUGACUUUAUUCUACGGAUUGCAAUGGGGAGACCACCCCAGGUCUGAAGAGCAGACUGUGUCAGCAGGGUGGCUUUGCAUUGGACUUGAGAGAGAUUAAUAGACAGUGCUACUGUGGGAAACAUUCGGGGGAGGGGGGAGUCUAAUCAACUGAACAGGAAAUGUUUGUCUUUGUGACUAGCUGGUUUCAGGAGGGCUGACUUUGAAUCUCAGUUACGAUUCAUGAGACAGAAAACACGGAGCUGAGGGUCUGUGUCUGACCUUUAAGGACUCGGAGGAAGGUCUGUGUUUGGCCUGCUAGCAGGGUACACCCAUGGGACACCUGAGAGGCUUAUGGCAAAUAGGACAAAGAGUGGACCGCAAGCCUUACCUAAGUCCUAAAGGGAAGGCCGGUCUUUGCUGGUAAGCCACUUCGGGAACACAGAAGUCUGCAGAGAUGUCUUUUCUGUGGCUCUUUCGGGGCUCAGGUGAAGUUCAGCCUUGUCAAAUGGUAAAGAUGAGCCAGGCAUCUUUCAUGCCUGUCCAAGCAGAUAUGUGGAUAAGAAGAGAGGGUCCCUUCUUACCCUGGAAGUCAUCGACACUUGAACAACACUUUAUAGUUGGCAAUACAUGAUGCACAGUGGCCACAUGGAGAGGAGACACAAAGCAGAUAUGUAAAGCCCAGCAGACAUGCGUACAGGUAGAGACGUUGCCAUUGUACCUAGGGGGUAACUGACAGUCAAACGGUACUUUGUGGUGUAAAAGAAAAUUCCCCUAGACUAAAUUAAUGACACAGAAAGCAGUCAGUUUUCUUCAUCAUCAGACUCAUUCUCCUCUCACUGAUGAGGUGUCUUGGGCACAGAGAGGUUAGGUCAGCUCCCCCACAUCAUUCAGGUCAUACUUGUUUGAAUCCCAAAGGCAAGGAACAUUCAGCCUGUCCAAACUAAGCCAUCCACCCCGAGUCCCUACACACAUCUGCACCUCCUCUAGUGUUUGCCUGACUCAGUGCAAGGCAGCCUUCUCCCCGGCUGCUUUGGCCAGAGAUCCUUACAGCCAUCUGUGCCUGCCGCCUCUGUCUCACCAUCCCCUCAGGCACCAAGCCCUGCCUUUCUGCUCCUAAGUCUAGGCAAGAUCCUGCCACUUCUCUCCAUCACCACAGUGAGAUCCCUAGUCCAGGUCACCCUCAGCUCUACUCUGCACGACCACCACCAAUCCUGAUCCUUUGCCACCCUUUUUCCAUUCCACUGCCCGAGGAACCUUUCUGAAGUCCUAAUCUAGGAACGCCACACCUGUUCAAACCUCUGUGGGGGCUGUCCGCUGCUCUAGGGAUAGUGUCCGGCCUCCUGGACUAGGCACAUCAGGAGUCGCGUGCCCCUGAGUGCCUGAUCCUCACCGGACCCCUCCUGCUCCAUUCCCCCCACUUGACUUUCCAACCACCCCAAACCCCUUUCUGUACCUCACAUGGCCAGUGUGCUCACAAUCGUUCCUGCUGACCACUCCCAGACUGCACAUCCUCACAGGUGCUGUUCCCGCCAUCCUCAUCUGCUGGUUCGGUGUCACGUUGGGUGGUGCAAUUUCCAUUUUACCUGGGCCGCACUUGGAUGAGAAGUCAGUUAACUCCUACUUUUAUAGAAUGGGAUGUGGUGGGGAUUUCUUGUUGAAUUCCCCAAAUCAAAACAAGGUUUACUGUGGUUCACAGUGAGCUGAGCUGAAAUGUAAUCUGAUGCCUGCCUUUUUUGGGAAAAGCUUCCUUGCUAAUAAGCACAGGGGACAGAUGGCAAAGGUCUCUCUGCUUAUUGUAUUUGGGCCCACUUUUGCCUUUGAACAUGGACUUUGGAAUCAGAUCACAAUUUUGGAACUAUCAAUGGAUCCAGGGUGAUCACCUGCCUGACAGUGAGGAGGGAUAACCCAGAACAUGGGAGAUACUUGUCACUUUAUGGUGUCUGUGACCCAGUAAAUGGAACAGGCCCGAUCUGCUCUGCCCAUGGACUUUGUUUUGAUGACACGUUCACUAUUUCCCACUCGAUUUUAUAGUCGGAGUUCUCUGUUAGGACAACAGAAAGUACAGUAACUUUCCUCUCUUUGCAGUGGAGCUGAUUUUCUAGUUCUUGGGGCCCUGAGGGUGGCAGGGAUCAGCUGCCUGCUCAGGAUGGGGGGGCCCUCCAAGGUCAUGUGCCAGUGCCUUCCUGCAGCUCUUCAGGUGUCUGCACAGGGUGCUGUCAACCCCUGGAGGCACCCAGACGAUCCAGUUCCUAGAAGGUCCGGGAGAGAGUGUGUAGGUUCUACCAGCUACACACUCAGCUGUGAGGAUCCCCUUCAUUCACUACAACUCCUCUAAGCAGAACACACCUAAGUAUGAAAUGAAGCGUGUGUCUCUGAUACGUAAGGUCAAAGAAAAAGAUGGAAAUGGCACCACCCCCCCUACCCCACAGCCACCCCAGUCAGAGGGUGGAGUAGACUCCUGGGGCCGUGGCCUGGAUCCCUCCACACUGAUGUGUCCCUAACAGGGGUGCAGUGUAAACGGCUCUUCCUCAAGCCUGGCUCUUGAGCUCAUGUGAGCAGGGCAGACACGGUUUUAUUUCCCCAAGGGCCAGAGAGGUAAGUAUCAACCCACUGCCUUCCACAGACAAGGAAAUAAGCUCAAAGAGGUUAAGUCGCUGAUGCAGUGGAGGGUGGAUCUGGGAGUCACGCCCCGGGUCUGUCAGACUCCUGAGCCAGUCUUCUUUGCCGUCACUUCACAACAAACUUGGUUUGGGUUUUUGUUGCUGAGAUGCAGAUACUGUUCCAUGAUGGGACAGUCACUGUUGUCCCAGUACCGUGUCCAUCGGUGACGUCCAGGCACCCAGCAGGGCAAAGGCACCGUGAACGGCUCUCAGACCCUCUCUGUGUCGCCUUCAGGGGAGAUGCUCUGAAGCCCAGAGACCCGGAGUCCACUGGUGGGAAGGGCCUGCCUCAGAGCCAACAGGCAGGCAGGACGUUGACUUUCCCUGCGGGGAGGCACUGCACCAUGCCAGAGAGGCUUUGCCAUCACCCCCCAGGCCCGGUUACGGCCCAGUUAGGACUCGACCCGUCUCCCUCUGUUUAGCAGAUACUAGGAAUUGAGAGGCGAGCAGAGGCAGAGGAGGUGCUUUCAGUGGCUGCAUGGCCUCUCGGGAGGUGACCCAGCCGCCAUGGUGGUCUGGAGCCCAAAGACUGAGAAUGGAAAAUGGCUGCACUGGUUUUGCUGUCGGUGCCCUUCAGCCUGUGUGUCUGUAAACUGGAAGAUCACGGUGCCUCCCUCAGGAACCUCCCCACCCUUGAGAAGUGUGUCUUGACCAAACACCCACAACCCCUCCCCCUGAUACUUUGGCAGGGGUCAGUGCCCUCCUCUGUGUUCCUAGGUUUCUAGGACUUAAAUCCCGCCAUCACUCACACAACAGGUGGCUGUCAUCUGCUUGCAGGUUCCAGCCCACAUCAUCCCCACAUCCCCAAACUAGGCCCAGGAGGCUGAGAUGUAGUGUCUUGGCGGUGCUGAGACUGUUUCCUCAAUGAACAAAGGACCCU